rnacentral:rRNA from 1 species
UGGGGAAUUUUGGACAAUGGGCGAAAGCCUGAUCCAGCAAUGCCGCGUGUGUGAAGAAGGCCUUCGGGUUGUAAAGCACUUUUGUCCGGAAAGAAAUCCUUGGCUCUAAUACAGUCGGGGGAUGACGGUACCGGAAGAAUAAGCACCGGCUAACUACGUGCCAGCAGCCGCGGUAAUACGUAGGGUGCAAGCGUUAAUCGGAAUUACUGGGCGUAAAGCGUGCGCAGGCGGUUUGCUAAGACCGAUGUGAAAUCCCCGGGCUCAACCUGGGAACUGCAUUGGUGACUGGCAGGCUAGAGUAUGGCAGAGGGGGGUAGAAUUCCACGUGUAGCAGUGAAAUGCGUAGAGAUGUGGAGGAAUACCGAUGGCGAAGGCAGCCCCCUGGGCCAAUACUGACGCUCAUGCACGAAAAGCGUGGGGGAGCAAAACAGGAUUAGAUACCCUGGUAGUCCACGCCCUAAAACGAUGUCAACUGUUGUGGGGAUUCAUUUCUUAGUAACGUAGCUAACGCGUGAAGUUGACCGCCUGGGGAGUACGGUCGCAAGAUUAAAACUCAAAGGAAUUGACGGGGUCAUAGCUGUUUCCU